AUGGAUUUGAAGUCGACUAGACUGAUGCUGUUCAAACAGAUGCAAGACUCAUAGAGCUAACCUCCGGUGUAACAACAGAUGCCGUAUUAACUUUAACCAUAGGAACAAGCAAUAUUUUGAUCUGGACAAUCCAUAUUAACAUGUUCCCUUUCUGCUGUCCAUUACAUGGAUAGAACUCACUUCUUUCUGGAGGCAAACUUAAUCUAUCUAUGUUCCAGCACUUACUGUUUUUGGAGAGGGAAGUAUUCCCCUCCUGUGUGAAAGCCAAGGGGGAAUGCCUCCGUGAAGAAGGUGCCUUCCAUCAGCAGAUGUGACAAGUAUUUAGAUCACAAUUAAUAAUUUUAGAAUGUAUUCUCUAAUUAAACAUG